rnacentral:rRNA from 1 species
GACGAACGCUGGCGGCGUGCCUAAUACAUGCAAGUCGAACGCAGUGGGGACGGGUGAGUAACACGUGGGUAACCUCCCAUCAGAGGGGAUAACACUUGGAAACAGGUGCUAAACCGAUACUGAUGGAUGGACCCGCGGUGCAUUAGCUAGUUGGUGAGGUAACGGCUCACCAAGGCCACGAUGCAUAGCAGACCUGAGAGUGUGAUCGGCAACACUGGGACUGCAACACGGCCCAGAAUCCACCGAAAGGCAGCAGAAGGGAAUGUUCGGCAAUGGACGAAAGUCGGACAGAGCAACGCCGCGUGAGAGAAGAACGUUUGCGGAUCGUAAAACUCUGUUGUUAGAGAAGCGGUAUCUAACCAGAAAGCCACGGCUAACUACGUGCCAGCGGCCGAGGUAAUAC